rnacentral:tRNA from 1 species
UGGCGCAACGGAAGCGUCUCUGACUCCAGAUCAGAAGGUUGUGUGUUCAAAUCAUGU